UACGGGGGGGGGCAAGCGUUGUGCGGAAUUACUGGGCGUAAAGGGCGCGUAGGCGGCCACCGCAAGUCGACUGUGAAAUCUCCGGGCUUAACCCCGGAAAGGUCAGCCGAUACUGCGGGGCUAGAGUGCAGAAGGGGGCAACUGGAAUUCUCGGUGUAGCGGUGAAAUGCGUAGAUAUCGAGAGGGAACACCCUGCGGCGAAGGCGGGGUUGCUGGGGCUGACACUGACGCUGAGGCGCGAAAGCUAGGGGAGCGAACGGGG
rnacentral:rRNA from 1 species